ensembl:lncRNA
GUUUCCCAAGUGUUGAAAGCUUUGUACCUGGGUAUAUCAGUUUGCUGUAAUACAACCAAGUGACCAAAGUGUGAAAAGCUUAAGGCCAGCCCUAUAGAGUGGCACCCGAGGGAUGCAGUGGUGAAACAAAUCCUCGCAAGAGCAAGCCCCUCAUCGUGCAGGACCUAAGAGAGGCUCAGCCUGGGAUGCUAGCUUCCCUUCUCAUCAACAGUCAUCUGUUUUCACAGCAGAGGUGAGGAUCAUCCUCUGCCUCCCCUUCUCUGAGCAUGUGGAAAACUCCAAACCAGUUACUUGACUUGAGAUGCUUAGUGCAGUGACUCUGGUUGGAAAAUCUCUUCAGCGCUUUGAUUUUCCUGUUGUUGUUGCACACAGCCGGAGCAGUUUCACAAGGUAGCGGUGCCCACAGUGCCUUCACUGAGGGUGGUUUACAUCAGCACAUCAUCUGAUGCAUCACAAAUCCCUCUGUUGAAAGGAUUUUGGUAACUCUGUGUUCCAGGCAAAAUGCUUCCAGGGCUGUGAGUGCUGGUGUCCAGCUCAGCCCCUCCGAGUGGGAGGGCAAUGCAUACAGGGCACUAGGGAGCAGGUUAAGAUCAUAUCCAUCAGCCACAGGUGUCUCCUAUUCCAGUAUAUCAGCAACCCAGGUGGGUUACAGAGAUAACUGCCUGUCUGAGGAUACAUUCUUACUGCAUGGGGUGGCUACAGCCCCUCAUGGGCUGUCUAAACCCACUUAGUCCAUGGCUACCAGUCCUAAAGCCCCAUCCCUUGCAACAGCCCUGGAAAAAGCCAGAAGAAAUUAGAAAGCAGAGGCUUUGUGCAAAUGGAGUGAGCUUCUUCAGGUUUGCAAAGGUUUAACCGAGGGCAGAAUUGGGCUUGCUGCCUCUGCAUUGUUUCCCCAGCCCAUAAUUUUGGGGUAAACUUAAGUUUUGGAUUAAUCACUGACCUUUAGCUUUGAAGAAAAACAGAACUUCUGCAUGAAAUUGCCAAAAACGAGAGUAACAAUUUGUAAUUGCUUCAUUUUGCUCCUGGAAACGCAGGUGCAGCCGGGCCUCCAAGGUGCUCUGCACAGCAAGGGAGUGGGCUGUUCUCCAGGGAGCACUGAUCCAAGGCAAUAAGGCAGACAAAGCGAGCACAGGGAAUACAGGCAGUUGGUGGAGGACUGACAAGUGGUGCACAGUGGGACACAGGAGGCACUCGCUCCCUGCCCCGUGCACUGCAUCAUUACACCUUGCAAAUAACAAACCUCCUCCGUACAGCAGGAUACCCAGACGUGGUGGUGUUCCAUGGAGCAGUGGGCCAUGUCCUGAUGCCCAUGGGCUGCAGUGAGUGGUGCUGGUGGAAGAGCAGAGCCAGCAGUCCUCUGCCCAUGAGCACAGUUGGGAGUACAGCAGUCUGAGGUCAUAAAUGCACAAAAAUGACUUGAAAUAAAAUGGUCUGCAAUUGAAUUGCACAAAACUUUGUCUUGUGCCCAUGAAAAUGUUGGGACAGGUGGCAAAGACAGGUCAGAGAUGGAUGGGUCUGAAACGUUACAUAGAUGGAAGAAAUCAGCAGUGCAGAGAGUCCCAAGAGAAAGAGAUGUCCCCCACAGAGGCAGCUGUUUCUCUACCAUGAAAGUGUUUCCAUAAAAGCUCGGGACAGCCACAUUAAGGAAGAUGGCCUGAAAGAAAACCAUGCAAAUUAUACUGAGCACACCUAAAAACACUGUCCUGGGGCAAAACAGUGAGCUCACUGCAGAAACGAGGGAGCUGCCGACAGCACGGACAAAACUGAAUUGCUUGAACUGGCUUGUGUGAUCUCCAGUGCCUGAAGCCUCUCCAAACUGGGCUGUACAUUGCUGCUGCUAUACCAGUAUCAAACUACAGUAAUAACAAGCAUCUUUAAGUGCCUUACUUGAUACCAGAUUCAUUACCCUGAGAGUCCUUCCAUAGAAAUAGCUGGGAUAUAUAAUCAGAUCUGUAUUGGUCUUCUUACAAACCGCAGCGUGAAGGACAGCUUGGCUCAGAGGAGGCUGCACUGCAUGCAAAGGAGGGAGAUUAUCCAGAAAGCUAAGUAGUUUCAGAAGCAAUUUCAUCUGUGAAGACAAGAGCAAGCACAAGCCCUCAAGGCCACCGCAGCCCCAUCACCUGUGCCCUGAAGGCACCGAGCUGCUGCACACACCUUCCUCACCACCUCUGUCCUCUCCUGUGUGCUUUGGGACCCACAACGAAAGUCUGAGUUUGGACUUGGGGCAUAAAAUACGGCACCAUAAAAUAUUAUUGUAGGGGAAGAGUGAAAAUUUACUCAUUUUUGAGCAGGAGGGCAAGGUGAUUUUCUCUCGGUCCAGUAAUUCCCUCAUUUUUAUUGCUGGUGUUACGGACCAGCUUCUCCGAGGUGCUUGGAUUUUGCUUAUAUUGCGUCCUCCUUCACAUCCGCUUUCAACAGUAAAACCCGUGUGGUUUUGAUCUCUUGCUUUCAUGCCUGCUGCCACACUCUGGAAAAUUUAAGAAGGGCGCAAGGAAUGGGUUAGUCACACUUGUUAAUAUUUAUCCCAUUGCAGAGUGAGUAGGGCUGACCUCAGAGCUUGGGCUUUGGAGAACAGUUAUGAGAACAAUUCCACCGCGCCGAAACGAAAUCUGCAUGCAAAGCUCGUUUGGUGCCUGGAAGGAGCUAGAAGGAAAUAAAGGUCUUAAACGAUAUAUUUCCGCAGUGAAUGUUUUGUCCUGUUUACAGAAUCUCACUCGAAUACUGGGGGUUUUGUUUUGUUCAUGUGUUUUUCAUAAGGAUAAAUAGCCGUGCAGUUUAAACAUUUUCAUUAGACUGAGACAAGAAGGAGGACGAUGCGGGGCUAUUUUUUUCUUUAAUUGUUAAUAUCUUUUUUUUAAUGGUUAUUUCUUAUAACGUCCUUUA